UGGGGAAUAUUGCACAAUGGGGGAAACCCUGAUGCAGCGACGCCGCGUGAGCGAAGAAGGUUUUCGAAUCGUAAAGCUCUGUCCUAUGAGAAGAUAAUGACGGUAUCAUAGGAGGAAGCCCCGGCUAAAUACGUGCCAGCAGCCGCGGUAAUACGUAUGGGGCGAGCGUUGUCCGGAAUUAUUGGGCGUAAAGGGUACGUAGGCGGUCUAUUAAGUCAGGUGUGAAAGCGUGAAGCUUAACCUCAUUAAGCACUUGAAACUGAUAGACUUGAGUGAAGGAGAGGAAAGUGGAAUUCCUAGUGUAGCGGUGAAAUGCGUAGAUAUUAGGAGGAAUACCGGUGGCGAAGGCGACUUUCUGGACUUUUACUGACGCUCAGGUACGAAAGCGUGGGGAGCAAACAGG
rnacentral:rRNA from 1 species